rnacentral:lncRNA from 1 species
AGCCCAAUCGAGCUACGCCUGCUACCAAGGCUCCAUCACAUCCCCUCUUCAAGAUUCCUUUUCAACUCACAUUCUCUCACGGUGCUCAUUAGAGUUUUCUGCCCUGCUGAGAUUAACACAGAAUUCCUGUGCCUGUCCCUGAGACCAGAACUUUUCUACGCCGCGGAUCUCACCAAAAACCUCUCAUCGACGUGCGAGUCCACAAGACCACCAAUACGAGAGCUGGAAGAUUUUGCUGAUGUGAGGCUUCAGAGCGGAUUGGCUUCCGCUUUCGCACCGUUUUCACAGCUACGGAGUGUGUUAUAGCACAACGGCGACAUUGAUUUUGUUGAAUAGCCGCCUUCAUCCAUUUGGUUAGGGUUUGGUAAUUGUGCCGUAAUCAUCCAAGUAUUAGGGUUUUAUCCAUUUGAGAUGGAUGAAUUUAUAUAUUUAAUCUCU